AUCCUACUCCCUCCGUCCGAAAAUACUUGUCGGAGAAAUGCAUAAAAAUGGAUGUAUCUAGAACUAAAAUACGUCUAGAUGCAUCCAUUCCUCCGACAAGUAUUUUCAGACGGAGGGAGUAUUAU
rnacentral:pre_miRNA from 1 species